CAAAGAGGGGGACCUUCGGGCCUCUCGCGUCAGGAUAUGCCUAGGUGGGAUUAGCUAGUUGGUGAGGUAAGGGCUCACCAAGGCGACGAUCCCUAGCUGGUCUGAGAGGAUGAUCAGCCACACUGGAACUGAGACACGGUCCAGACUCCUACGGGAGGCAGCAGUGGGGAAUAUUGCACAAUGGGCGCAAGCCUGAUGCAGCCAUGCCGCGUGUGUGAAGAAGGCCUUCGGGUUGUAAAGCACUUUCAGUCGUGAGGAAGGUGGUAGUGUUAAUAGCACUAUCAUUUGACGUUAGCGACAGAAGAAGCACCGGCUAACUCCGUGCCAGCAGCCGCGGUAAUACGGAGGGUGCGAGCGUUAAUCGGAAU
rnacentral:rRNA from 1 species